AUUGAACGCUGGCGGCAUGCUUUACACAUGCAAGUCGAACGGUAACAGGUUAAGCUGACGAGUGGCGAACGGGUGAGUAAUGUAUCGGAACGUGCCCAGUCGUGGGGGAUAACGUAGCGAAAGCUACGCUAAUACCGCAUACGAUCUGUGGAUGAAAGCGGGGGACCGUAAGGCCUCGCGCGAUUGGAGCGGCCGACAUCAGAUUAGGUAGUUGGUGGGGUAAGGGCCCACCAAGCCAACGAUCUGUAGCUGGUCUGAGAGGACGACCAGCCCCGCUGGGACUGAGACAAGGCCCGGAAUCCUACGGGAGGCAGCAGUGGGGAAUUUUGGACAAUGGGGGCAACCCUGAUCCAGCAAUGCCGCGUGCAGGAAGAAGGCCUUCGGGUUGCAAACUGCUUUUGUACGGAACGAAAAGGCUCUGGUUAAUACCUGGGGUUUAUGACGGUACCGUAAGAAUAAGCACCGGCUAACUACGUGCCAGCCGCCGCCGUAA
rnacentral:rRNA from 1 species